rnacentral:tRNA from 1 species
GGGGGUGUAGCUCAGUUGGUCAGAGCGUGCGUCUUAUACACGCAAUGUCCGUGGUUCGAAUCCACGCACCCCUACCA